rnacentral:rRNA from 1 species
AACGCGAAGAACCUUACCUGGGCUUGACAUGUCCCUGACACCCGUGGAAACACGGUCUCCCUUCGGGGCAGGGUCACAGGUGGUGCAUGGCUGUCGUCAGCUCGUGUCGUGAGAUGUUGGGUUAAGUCCCGCAACGAGCGCAACCCCCGUCGCAUGUUGCCAGCAUUUAGUUGGGGACUCAUGCGAGACCGCCGGUGACAAACCGGAGGAAGGUGGGGAUGACGUCAAGUCAUCAUGCCCCUUAUGCCCAGGGCUACACACGUGCUACAUUGGCGCGUACAGAGGGCUGCGAUACCGCGAGGUGGAGCGAAUCCCUUAAAGCGCGUCUCGGUUCGGAUUGCAGGCUGAAACUCGCCUGCAUGAAGGCGGAGUUGCUAGUAAUCGCGGAUCAGCAUUGCCGCGGUGAAUACGUUCCCGGGCCUUGUA